rnacentral:lncRNA from 1 species
GAAAUUAGAGCUUUAAAUUGUUCAUAUGCUGAUUUUAUUGAAAGAAUUGAAUAGAAAGUGAAUGUUUGGGACCUAAUAGUAAAAGAGUUUGAAGAUAGAGUUAUAUGUGGAAAUUCUGAAUUUCAAUAGUUGUGUAACAACUUAUAAUUCUAGUAAAGUACUAAUUUAGAAAAUUAGAUUAAUUGAGGGGUUAAUUGAGAAAGGACCGAAUUGUAUAAACUGUGAAAUUUGGGGCAAAAUGGA